GACGAACGCUGGCGGCGUGCCUAAUACAUGCAAGUCGAGCGGGCCUCCGGAGGUGCUUGCACCUCCGGAAGGCCAGCGGCGGACGGGUGAGUAACACGUGGGCAACCUGCCUUUGAGGCCGGGAUAACACCGGGAAACCGGUGCUAAUACCGGAUACGUCCUCUUUCGCGCCUGCGAGAGGGGAGAAAGACGGUCUUUAAGGCCGUCGCUCAAAGAGGGGCCCGCGGCGCAUUAGCUGGUUGGUGGGGUAAGGGCCUACCAAGGCGACGAUGCGUUGCCGACAGGAGAGGGUGAUGGGCCACACUGGGACUGAGACACGGCCCAGACGCCUGCGGGAGGCAGCCGUAGGGAAUCAUCCGCAAUGGGCGAAAGCCUGACGGUGCAACGCCGCGUGAGUGAGGAAGGUUUUCGGAUCGUAAAGCUCUGUUGUGAGGGAAGAACAGCUUCCGGAGGAAAUGCCGGAGGUUUGCCGGUACCUCACCAGAAAGCCCCGGCUAACUACGUGCCAGCCGCCGCCGUAAGAC
rnacentral:rRNA from 1 species